AAACAGCCUUGAUAAUUUACACCACUGGACAGUGACUAAGACUUUCCACAUGAAGACAGUAUCAUGCUAAGCAGUAUGGCCGGGAUUCAGUGGCUUCUAGCAGCAGUUCAGCUGAGAUUCAUUCUGGAUGAGGACUCAGAGGCUUCCAGUCUGAGGAAACAGGACCAGCUGAGGAACUGGCGAGAUGAUUUUGGUCCAUCAUCGUGGAUGGCAUUGCAGAGCAUGUGAAUUCAAGGCAGCAGGAUACAUGACAGAAACUGUGUACAAGACAACAAGGACAAAGAAAGCACAAGGAACUAGAAGCCAUCUAGAACCUUCAAAAGACAAGCCCUAAUGACAUCCUGGCACCCAC